GAUGAACGCUAGCGAUAGGCCUAACACAUGCAAGUCGAGGGGCAGCAUAGAGUAGCAAUACUUUGAUGGCGACCGGCGCACGGAUGAGUAACACGUAUGCAACCUACCUACAUCAGGGGAAUAACCCGGAGAAAUUCGGACUAAUACCGCAUAAUACAGGGAUGCCGCAUGGCAAUAUUUGCUAAAGAUUUAUCGGAUGUAGAUGGGCAUGCGUUCCAUUAGCUAGUUGGUAAGGUAACGGCUCACCAAGGCAACGAUGGAUAGGGGAACUGAGAGGUUGGUCCCCCACACUGGAACUGAGACACGGACCAGACUCCUACGGGAGGCAGCAGUGAGGAAUAUUGGUCAAUGGACGAGAGUCUGAACCAGCCAAAUCGCGUGAAGGAAGACUGCCCUACGGGUUGUAAACUUCUUUUGUACAGGAAUAAAAGACAUUACGUGUAAUGUAUUGCAUGUACUGUACGAAUAAGCAUCGGCUAACUCCGUGCCAGCCGCCGCAGUAA
rnacentral:rRNA from 1 species